rnacentral:rRNA from 1 species
CAGUCGCCACGGGAAUACGUAGGUGGCAAGCGUUGUCCGGAAUUAUUGGGCGUAAAGGGCUCGCAGGCGGUUUCUUAAGUCUGAUGUGAAAGCCCCCGGCUCAACCGGGGAGGGUCAUUGGAAACUGGGAAACUUGAGUGCAGAAGAGGAGAGUGGAAUUCCACGUGUAGCGGUGAAAUGCGUAGAGAUGUGGAGGAACACCAGUGGCGGAGGCGACUCUCUGGUCUGUAACUGACGCUGAGGAGCGAAAGCGUGGGGAGCGAACAGGAUUAGAUACCCCCGUAGUCCCUGUCUCUUAUAC